GGGCCCGCACAAGCGGUGGAGCAUGUGGUUUAAUUCGAUGAUACGCGAGGAACCUUACCAGGGCUUAAAUGGGAGAUGACAGGGGCAGAGACGCCCUUUUCUUCGGACAUCUUUCAAGGUGCUGCAUGGUUGUCGUCAGCUCGUGCCGUGAGGUGUCAGGUUAAGUCCUAUAACGAGCGCAACCCCUACCGUUAGUUGCCAGCGAUUCAAGUCGGGGACUCUAACGGGACUGCCGGUGCAAACCGUGAGGAAGGUGGGGACGACGUCAAAUCAUCACGGCCCUUACGUCCUGGGCUACACACGUGCUACAAUGGUCGGUACAGAGGGAAGCUACCCCGUAAGGGGAUGCGGAUCUAUAAACCGAUCUCAGUUCGGAUCGCAGUCUGCAACUCGACUGCGUGAAGCUGGAAUCGCUAGUAAUCG
rnacentral:rRNA from 1 species